UGGGGAAUAUUGGACAAUGGGCGCAAGCCUGAUCCAGCCAUGCCGCGUGAGUGAUGAAGGCCUUAGGGUUGUAAUGCUCUUUUGGCGGGGACGAUAAUGACGGUACCCGCAGAAUAAGCCCCGGCUAACUUCGUGCCAGCAGCCGCGGUAAUACGAAGGGGGCUAGCGUUGUUCGGAAUUACUGGGCGUAAAGCGCACGUAGGCGGAUCGGCAAGUCAGGGGUGAAAUCCCGGGGCUCAACCUCGGAACUGCCUCUGAUACUGCCAGUCUAGAGUCCGGAAGAGGUGGGUGGAAUUCCUAGUGUAGAGGUGAAAUUCGCAGAUAUUAGGAAGAACACCGGUGGCGAAGGCGGCCCACUGGUCCGGUACUGACGCUGAGGUGCGAAAGCGUGGGGAGCAAACAGGAUUAGAUACCCCCGUAGUCCCUGAGCGGGCUGGCAAGGCGCAU
rnacentral:rRNA from 1 species